GAACGCAUCUUGCGCUCCUUGGUAUUCCGAGGAGCAUGCCUGUUUGAGUGUCAUUUGACUUAUCAACCGCUUCAUGGUAAACAUGGACGUGGCUUUGGAUGUGGGGGUCUUUGCAGGCUUUUUGAAUCUAAAGGUCGGCUCUCCUGAAACGCAUUAGUGGCAUCUGAGCUGCUACUAUAGGUGUGAUAAAUUAUCUAUGCCUUUGGUAUGCUGCAUGAACAGAUUGCGCUGCUUACAAUGACAAAAAAGAAUUUGACAAACUUGACCUCAAAUCAGGUAGGACUACCCGCUGAACUUAAG
rnacentral:misc_RNA from 1 species